CAUCUGUUGUAUUCAGCAUUUCACUGUAAGGUCUACCUACACCUGUUGUAUUCAGCAUUUCACUGUAAGGUCUACUACACCUGUUGUAUUCAGCAUUUCACUGUAAGGUCUACCUACACCUGUUGUAUUCAGCAUUUCACUGUAAGGUCUACUACACCUGUUGUAUUCAGCAUUUCACUGUAAGGUCUACUACACCUGUUGUAUUCAGCAUUUCACUGUAAGGUCUACCUACACCUGUUGUAUUCAGCAUUUCACUGUAAGGUCUACCUACACCUGUUGUAUUCAGUAUUUCACUGUAAGGUCUACCUACACCUGUUGUAUUCGGC
ensembl:lncRNA